UUCAAAAUUGCUUUCCCUUCUGAUUUUGUAAGGAUUUCGUCUUGAGGUCACAACUCUUCCAUCCUCCUUGGAAGGUGACAGUUUGUUUGAAUUUGUAUAUCUGUAAAACACUGUUAUUCAUGAAAAAUAGUAGAUGAUAUUAUUUGUAUUCUUUUUUCAUUGCAGUAUAACAUAAUUCUCUUUGUAGGAUAAAAAACGAUGGCUCAAGUUCUUCUACGAAGUCUUUAUACUUUCUGGUGCAGGCUGCUUCAUCUGAAUACACAGUCAAAACGUCAGUAGAAAGUGACUUAAAAACAAUACCAAGAGGAAUUACUUACUCCUUUUUCCGGACUUUUCUUUUAGUCCACAUUUUUAUCGUUUGGCACUUUAACUCGUUUCAUCUGCGUUGAGUAAACCACUAUGAAUAUCACAAGAUCCAAGUAACUAACCUAGUCAGUUCUACGAUAUCAAGUUCUUUGAAGAAAGCAUAAAGCAAGCAUUUGUUAAAUAAAAAUUUACCAUUAUUGAAUAACGCUCAUCCUGAGCGUUACCCAAACCGGUAGGAUGAAUUAUGGAAACACAUUUUUGACGCUUUUGCUUCUCUACUAGAGUAAUACACUAACAAAUAAAACCACUUUACAUUUCUA